UCGGGAAUUUUGGGCAAUGGGCGAAAGCCUGACCCAGCAACGCCGCGUGAAGGAUGAAGUAUUUCGGUAUGUAAACUUCGAAAGAAUAGGAAGAAUAAAUGACGGUACUAUUUAUAAGGUCCGGCUAACUACGUGCCAGCAGCCGCGGUAAUACGUAGGGACCAAGCGUUGUUCGGAUUUACUGGGCGUAAAGGGCGCGUAGGCGGUUUGUCAAGUCAGUUGUGAAAUCUCCGAGCUUAACUCGGAACGGUCAACUGAUACUGUCAAACUAGAGUACAGAAGGGGCAAUCGGAAUUCUUGGUGUAGCGGUGAAAUGCGUAGAUAUCAAGAGGAACACCUGAGGCGAAGGCGGGUUGCUGGGCUGAUACUGACGCUGAAGCGCGAAAGCUAGGGUAGCAAACGGGAUUAGAUACCCCUGUAGUCCCUGAGCGGGCUGGCAAGGCGCAU
rnacentral:rRNA from 1 species